rfam:Oryzias latipes DNA, chromosome2, strain: Hd-rR.
GCUGUGAUCGUAUAGUGGUUAGUACUCUGCGUUGUGGCUGCAAAAAUCCUGGUUCGUAUCCGGGUCACAGCA